UCGAUGAAGAACGCAGCGAAAUGCGAUAAGUAAUGCGAAUUGCAGAAUUCAGUGAGUCAUCGAAUCUUUGAACGCACAUUGCGCCCCUUUAGUAUUCUGAAGGGCAUACCUGUUCGAGCGUCAUUAUCACUAAUCAAGCCUGGCUUGCUGUUGGACCUCUUGUCGUUAAAAACCGACAGGCCCUAAAGAUAAUGACGGCGUUACUUGGACCCUAGAUGCAACGAGCUUUCAUUAGCACGCGUUAGUCGGACCUUUAACCCGGUCUUUUUAACCCAAUUUCUAAGGUUGACCUCGGAUCAGGUAGGAAUACCCGCUGAACUUAA
rnacentral:rRNA from 1 species